rnacentral:rRNA from 1 species
GAUGAACGCUGGCGGCGUGCCUAAUACAUGCAAGUCGAGCGAACGGACGAGAAGCUUGCUUCUCUGAUGUUAGCGGCGGACGGGUGAGUAACACGUGGAUAACCUACCUAUAAGACUGGGAUAACUUCGGGAAACCGGAGCUAAUACCGGAUAAUAUUUUGAACCGCAUGGUUCAAAAGUGAAAGACGGUCUUGCUGUCACUUAUAGAUGGAUCCGCGCUGCAUUAGCUAGUUGGUAAGGUAACGGCUUACCAAGGCAACGAUGCAUAGCCGACCUGAGAGGGUGAUCAGCCACACUGGAACGGAGACACGGUCCAGACUCCUACGGGAGGCAGCAGUAGGGAAUCUUCCGCAAUGGGCGAAAGCCUGACGGAGCAACGCCGCGUGAGUGAUGAAGGUCUUCGGAUCGUAAAACUCUGUUAUUAGGGAAGAACAUAUGUGUAAGUAACUGUGCACAUCUUGACGGUACCUAAUCAGAAAGCCACGGCUAACUACGUG